GGCCGGCGGCGCUGGCCAGCGUGGUGGCGCCACGUUAUGCAGCGGCCGUUCAGCGGUUGUUGAGCAAGUGACACGUCUGCGCAGAGCUCUGUGCAAAGGCCCAGGGCUCGCUCCCGAAAGCGGUUUGUUUAAGUGAGCGCAGGUGUGCCCGAGAUGACAAAGCAGCCAGGCUUAGAGGGAGAGCUUUGGAGGUAGCUCAAGGAUCUGCUUGGUGUGCUUCACUGCUUGGGAAAAGUCUCAGAAGGCCAGACUGGAACCAGAAGAAAGCUGUGGGCACCAGCCAAGUGUUGACUGUCUGGCUGACUGGUGAUGCCUUGCCUCAGAGCCAGAGACACUCUCAGUAUGGAAAGGCCAAUUAGGAGACUGAGCAAGGCCAUUGCUACAGAAUGCAAACAAGUGCAUCUUCUUCCUAGUGGCAUCAUUGUGGAGAUUGAAAAGAAGAGAAACACCAGAUUCUUAUACUGCAGGAAUAUUCCUUAUGCUAGAUUAUGAAGACAAGACAUAUGUGGGGAGAGAAAAUCUCUGAUAAUGAGGCUAAAUUCAGAGUUUCUACUUAACUUAUAAAAAGCAGCUGUAAAGCUGAUAAACAGGCAGAUAUAAUUGUCACUGAAAGACAUUAGAACAGGUGAGCCGGAUUCUUUAUAUUUUAUAGGAAACAUUUUCAUAAGGGGUAAUAUCAACUAGUUCUCUCAUUUCAAUUUGUGUUUCAUUUUAUU